GAUGAAGAACGCAGCGAAAUGCGAUAAGUAAUGUGAAUUGCAGAAUUCAGUGAAUCAUCGAAUCUUUGAACGCACAUUGCGCCCCUUGGUAUUCCGAGGGGCAUGCCUGUUCGGGCGUCAUUAUAGCCCCUCAAGCUCAGCUUGGUGUUGGGGCCUGCUGCACUGGCAGCCCUUAAAAUCAGUGGCGGCGCCAUCUGGCUCUAAGCGUAGUAAUUCUUCUCGCUAUGGAGUCCUGGUGGAUGCUUGCCAUCGACCCCCAAUUUUUCUAUGGUUGACCUCGGAUCAGGUAGGGAUACCCGCUGAACUUAAGCAUAUCAAUAAGCGGAGGA
rnacentral:misc_RNA from 1 species